AGCAUCAAUCUUAUCCUGUGGCGAAAAGUCAGGUUGGAUUGAGUGGCGUUUGAAAUGGCGUAAGGCUGAGAUGAGCCGAGUCAUGUUUGAAGUGGCGUGAAAUUAGUUAGGCCGAGUCACAAUCGAGAUCUUUGGUUGCUAUAUUUGUACACUUUAUAUAAGUGAAUUGGUUGCUUAUUUUUAACAAAGGCACCAACGAUGCGACACCACCCUUU
rnacentral:lncRNA from 1 species